GUGGGGGUGGCAUGACACACCGAUGCAUCUGGCAAACCAAAGACCUGCACCCGUCUAUAGUUCCCUUGCGCUAUCGUGGAGAUUCCCAAACCCAUUUCCUGGGGCCUGCACCCCCUCGCAAAGCUGGCCUUGCAGGGAUCGACCAGCAAGUGGCUUGCCAACACCCUGCAGCUGGCAGGGAAACCAGAUUCCCCCAUCCUGAGCCCCUCUGGUCUUCAGGCUUAGCGUUUCAGAGGCUGGUUGGGGGCUGAUCAUUACCUGCUGCUGUGUGAUGCGAGGAGCAGGGAGCGCUCUGCCAGCAGAAACAGGGGCUUUAUUUUCCUUUCCCCACACAGAAAAUGGAGGAGUGGGGAGGUGCUUAGGAAUGGGGACGUCACUGGGGGAGGGAAAAGGCACUCGGGGUCUGGAGCUGGCAGCGGUUUGAGGGGUGAGCCCAGCGCCUGUGAUGAGCAGUGCCGAGCUCAGCACCCACCCAAUCCUAAAUGGAGCUGGGGGAGGGUGUCACUUGCAUGGGGCUCACUGCUGAGACACGGGGCUUAGGCUCGUGCCCAGAAGGCGGGUCUGAAGUUUACACUAUUGCAAAAGAGCAGUGCCUGCAGCAGCCAGAGCACUGCUGGGAAAAGAAUUUAAGGGAGACGUGCUGUGCUGGAGGGGAGGUUGCAUGUCUUUUUGGCAAAGCCAGAAGCUGGAGACGCCUGGAGAUGUUCCUCAGCACCGGAAUUCACUAUUUUGGAAACUCAUAGAACCAAAGCUGGGAAUGGCAUAGAUGGGAGAUUUGGGGCUCCAGAGCAAAUAGUUGAUGCCAGUGAGAUGGACACCACGUUACCCCAGUGAUGCCUGAGCAGAAGCAUUGCACCUGUGGGUGAGCAGGGAUGAUCCCAUGUCACUAUGCCAGUGAAUGGGUGCUAGAGUCUGAGCAUAAGGUGUUUCCUCUUGCCUUUGCCCUGCAAACCUGGGGCUGGUGCAACGGCAAUGGAUAUUUCUGCCCUGCCACUGCCUGAUCUACAAAGCAAUCUGCAUCAAUUCAGAGGCAUAAGCACGCUUAGGCAAAGAGGCACUGUGGGGCAGAGGGCACCUCCUGGCUGCUUUGGGGUUUUUCCACUCAGAGAGCAGUUGUUAAACCUCUCGGCAACACUCUGUCUAUUGCAAUUUAUUACAGGAAUAAAAAUGAAUGGUAGUGUGCCUCAGUCUGGUACUGCUGCUGCAGGAAUCCAGCGCCUGCUCCUCACUGGGGGCAGAGCCCCCAGGAUGUGCACCCCUCAUGCCUCCAUCUGGAAGCAGAGAUCCGAGCCUGCCAUCUGCUGCUGGUAGUGCUGGUCAAAGCGCUCAUUCUGGGCCACAGUGAAGUGAUUCGCCCAGUCGCCGGAGAUGCCUUUCCGCAUGAAUGGGGAGAGGCUGUGGUCCAUCAGUUCAGUGGGCAUUGUCUCAUAGUUGGUGGCAGGGUUCUUCUUCAUCUCCUGGAAGGAGGUGUGGUGGAGGAUCCUUGCCACUGUCUCUUCUGCCACCUCCUUGCCCAGGAACUGCAGGAUCUUCUGAAUCUCUCGUCGUGGGUCCUUCUUCAUAUCCUCAUAGAAGAGGUAGAGAAGCCGCUUCUCGUGCCUCUUCUCCCACCAGCCCUUCACAUGCUUGUACCAGGACCCAUAGGCCACUGCAGGAUGUGGGUAGGGUUAGCUGAAAAAUGGC
rnacentral:lncRNA from 1 species